rnacentral:rRNA from 1 species
CCUACGGGAGGCAGCAGUGAGGAAUAUUGGUCAAUGGACGUAAGUCUGAACCAGCCAUGCCGCGUGCAGGAAGACGGCUCUAUGAGUUGUAAACUGCUUUUGUACGAGGGCAAACGCCGAUACGCGUAUCUUUCUGAAAGUAUCCUACGAAUAAGGCUUGGCUAACUCCGUGGCAGCAGCCGCGGUAAAACGGGGGAUUCAAUGGUUAUCCGGAUUUAUUGGGUUUAAAGGGUGCGUUGGCGGUCGGAUAAGUUAGAGGUGAAAUCCCGAGGCUCAACUUCGGAAUUGCCGCUGAUACUGUUCGGCUAGAGAGUAGUUGCGGUAGGCGGAAUGUAUGGUGUAGCGGUGAAAUGCUUAGAGAUCAUACAGAACACCGAUUGCGAAGGCAGCAUACCGGGCUACAUCUGACGUUGAAGCACGAAAGCGUGGGGAGCGAACAGGAUUAGAUACCCUGGUAGUC